GCGCCUGUAGCUCAGUUGGAUAGAGCGCAAGAUUCCGGAUCUUGAGGUCGAAGGUUCGAAUCCUUUCAGGCGUA
rnacentral:tRNA from 1 species